UUACAGUGAGGCUAUUUUAGUAAUUUUACUUGAUUUAUUAAUCAUUAUUUUUUUUAUCCCACCUACUCCAACCAAUCAUUAUCCUUCUUUAUCACUCAUUAUCUUCUUAUCCCACCUACUCCAACCAAUCAUUAUCCUUCUUUAUCAAUCAUUAUCUUUUUAUCCCACCUACACCAACCAAACACUAUUUCUCAUUAUUCUAGCUUAACUCUAACCCCGAACCAAACACAAAAAAACUUUAACCCCACUUUAACUCUGAACUUAACCCUAUCCCUGGAAUAGCUACUUUUUUCUUAACCCCGAACCAAACGGAGGCUUAGUUCCUCUGCCUGAGAUUUCAGGUUAGCC
rnacentral:lncRNA from 1 species